rnacentral:lncRNA from 1 species
GCCAAUUAAUCAUUUUCAUCCCUAUUAAAAUUGGGGACUGAACCUCUGUAAAGUCCAAACAUUUACCAACCAACUCAGUCGACUGCUGCCUUGACAGCUAAGCUGAUCUUUGCUUUUUGAUUUCUUAAUCUGAAAAAUAUGAGAAAUUGUUUAGCUCACUGGAGGAGCUAUUAGGAAUGUUUUUAUUGCUCCUAAGGUGCGGUGUCUUAGAAUCCUCAAGGCCCAGUGGUACACGCAGUACAUAAGACAGGGCAGCAGGAACCCAGAUUUCUAGGCCUGUCUCUGCCAGCAACCAGCUGUGUGACUUUGGACUCAUCACCUCACCCUUCUGGGCUUAACGCUGACAGCAAGUGAGUGUUCCUUCCAUGUCUAAUACAUCAAAGAUGGAGAGAUGCUUGGAGCAUCAGAGUUUCAAUCUUCUGUCCGCAGAGAAGCUUCUUCCUCUCACUUGAGGCCAUUUUAACCUCUCUCUCACCAGAUUCUAGGCUGUUUGGCUGUUUCGUCCGGAUCUGUCAAGAAGGCACCAGGAAAGACUGGAAGCCAAGGGCAACCCUGGAAUUGUGAGACCCAAAGCCCAGGGCCCAUCACCUACAAGGAGAAUGAAGACCCAUGACUUGGCCUAUAAGGUCUUCAAUCAUCUGACCGACCACCUGAUGAAGAGUUUCAGCUAUACUUGGAAGGUCAGAUUGAGGCCAGAUCCUGAUGGACCUUGAAUGCCGGGUUGAGGAGCUU